rnacentral:lncRNA from 1 species
AUUAUCCUUCCACCGCUGGUGGCGGGCGGUACUCGCUGCUCUGUGAAGCCAGCCUCACGCAAUGUCCGCCACUUUAGGUGUUGGGAUGCAAAGGCUUUUGCCAAGGCAUCCGAAACCCACUACACAACUUGGAAUGGGUGGUCCACAGUUUGUAGCACUAGACCCAGGCACAUGCACCACAAUUGACAUCCACACUACCUUAUUGCCCCCGCUCGGGUUACAAGCAAUCGCUACUUGCUCAACGAGUGAGGGGGUUCAAGACUACCUAUUUAAGGUGGUGUUGUACUCUAUGAGCCGGCGGUGUGGUAUUUACCAACUACAAAUAGUGUCAUGCAUGUGACUUGCUAGUUGACAAUGUCUGUUGUCAAGCUAGGUGUGGGCUAUGGAUGAAGCACAUUAGGAUAUAGUAGGCCUAUUUUGUUUUUUGUUGUUUUUGGGCCACUAUGGACUUUAUGUUGAUGUUGUGAAUUUUUUUUCUUGUGUUUCCUCUUCCUACGAUGUGGAAAGUGGGUGCGUCAGAGAAGAAAGAAAGAGUGGCUAGCAUUGAUUUUACGUCAUACCAUUGAGAACACUAAUCAGAAGCAGAAGCAACAAUAUUUCAUACAUAUACAACACUUGUAAUCCAUAUAAACAACAUUCCUUUAAAAUAUAAUAUAAACCACAUGAUUUAUAUCCUGGGUCAGCUAUCUCCACAAAGGGCAAGAAAACGCUCCAAGUUUGUAGUAUAGCACUAAAAGUGUCGAUUCUCACGAUUUCUUCCCGACAUAUACAAACUAGACAGUAAUCACAUAAAAUAAAGAAAUAUGUGUUAACACGAACUUAUAGCAUGUAUUUCAACAUAUAGAUUGUUGAUUAUUAUGGUAGAUUAUAUAAAAUAGGGGUUCCCGAAGAAAUACAUAAAAACAAGAGCAUUAAAAUUUCCUUUUCAGAUCUGGCUAACUGGUAAAGGGAGUUGGAGUAUCUGAGUUUCCAAAUUUGGGACGUCGCUCUAUAGAAGGAAUAUAAAUACAUUGGAAAAAAUUCUACAAGGAAAGGUUUAAUACAAGUAGCGCUAAGAAAAACUCAAUGAGGCUUUGGUCGCUUGGUCACAAAACUUGAGACAAGAAACACGAAGACACCAAGGUAAUUAGUAUGAGAGUUUUCCAAAUUUGGUGUCUUGAUGUAGAAAAAAUAAAUAUAUGACAAACUUGUUUUUUCGUAAGGCAUGGAUAAAUAAGUGGGGGUGAGCAAUAAAUUUCAUCCUAGAUUUAGAAGGAAUAAAUAUAUCACUAAAUAGGUUUUUUCACAAUGCCAAGUUAAUCAGGUGGGAGCGAGAAACAAUUCUAGCGAGGCUAGGUUGUACUAGCCCAAAACUACAUACAACAGAGGAAAAAUGAAGAAAAUGAUGGUCUACCAAAUAUGGCGCAUGAGCCUUAAGGUGCACCUAGAGGGAAGUAGAAGAAAUAAAUAUAUAAUGGCAUAUGUUUAUCGCAAUGCAAGGUAAAGUGUAGAUGUGCUCUAACUGGGCUUAGAUUGCAGCGACACAUUAUGCAUCUACAAGGCUUGGUUGCACAUGGAAAAAGAUAGAGAGAGAAAUGUAGAUGCAGGACCGGGUGAAAAACAUUCAAUGAGACGUGAUUGCACGGACAUAGAACUAGAUAUAAGACAAGAGUUAAAGAAAAAUAAAGGAACUAAAUUUUCUUCUGCACACUAAGCAUGAAUGGAGUUGUAGUAUCUGAGAUCAAAAUUUAAUUUAUUCCAAGAUGCAGAACAAAAAUGUGAUACUCGUAAUGGUUACAUAGGAGCAAAAGUAGAUAAGAAAAAUAGCAAAAAGAUAGUGGUCUACCAGAGAGGGCACAUGUGCCUCAAUUGUCUUAUAGCAUAGCGACUCAUUAUCCUUCCACCGCUGGUGGCGGGCGGUACUCGCUGCUCUGUGAAGCCAGCCUCACGCAAUGUCCGCCACUUUAGGUGUUGGGAUGCAAAGACUUUCGCCAAGGCAUCCGAAACCCACUACACAACUUGGAAUGGGUGGUCCACUGUUUGUAGCACUAGACCCAGGCACAUGCACCACAAUUGACAUCCACACUACCUUAUUGCCCCGCUCGGGUUACAAGCAAUCGCUACUUGCUCAGCGAGUGAGGGGGUUCAAGACUACCUAUUUAAGGUGGUGUUGUACUCUAUGAGCCGGCGGUGUGGUAUUUACCAACUACAAAUAGUGUCAUGCAUGUGACUUGCUAGUUGACAAUGUCUGUUGUCAAGCUAGGUGUGGGCUAUGGAUGAAGCACAUUAGGAUAUAGUAGGCCUAUUUUGUUUUUUGUUGUUUUUGGGCCACUAUGGACUUUAUGUUGAUGUUGUGAAAUUUUUUUCUUGUGUUUCCUCUUCCUACGAUGUGGAAAGUGGGUGCGUCAGAGAAGAAAGAAAGAGUGGCUAGCAUUGAUUUUACGUCAUACCAUUGAGAACACUAAUCAGAAGCAGAAGCAACAAUAUUUCAUACAUAUACAACACUUGUAAUCCAUAUAAACAACAUUCCUUUAAAAUAUAAUAUAAACCACAUGAUUUAUAUCCUGGGUCGGCUAUCUCCACAAAGGGCAAGAAAACGCUCCAAGUUUGUAGUAUAGCACUAAAAGUGUCGAUUCUCACGAUUUCUUCCCGACAUAUACAAACUAGACAGUAAUCACAUAAAAUAAAGAAAUAUGUGUUAACACGAACUUAUAGCAUGUAUUUCAACAUAUAGAUUUUUGAUUAUUAUGGUAGAUUAUAUAAAAUAGGGGUUCCCGAAGAAAUACAUAAAAACAAGAGCAUUAAAAUUUCCUUUUCAGAUCUGGCUAUCUGGUAAAAGGAGUUGGAGUAACUGAGUUUCCAAAUUUGUGACGUAGCUCUAUAGAAGGAAUAUAAAUACGUUGGAAAAAUUCUAUAAGGAAAGGUUUAAUACAAGUAGGGCUAAGAAAAACUCAAUGAGGCUUUGGUCGCAUGGUCACAAAACUUGAGACAAGAAACACGAAGACACCAAGGUAAUUAGUAUGAGAGUUUUCCAAAUUUGGUGUCUUGAUGUAGAAAAAAUAAAUAUAUGACAAAUUUGUUUUUUCGCAAGGCAUGGAUAAAUAAGUGGGGGUGAGCAAUAAAUUUCAUCCUAGAUUUAGAAGGAAUAAAUAUAUCACUAAAUACAUUUUUUCACAAUGCCAAAUUAAUCAGGUGGGAGCGAGAAACAAUUGUAGCGAGGCUAGGUUGUACUAGCCCAAAACUACAUACAACAGAGGAAAAAUGAAGAAAAUGAUGGUCUACCAAAUAUGGCGCAUGAGCCUUAAGGUGCACCUAGAGGGAAGUAGAAGAAAUAAAUAUAUAAUAGCAUAUGUUUUUCGCAAUGCAUGGUAAAGUGUAGAUGUGCUCUAACUGGGCUUAGAUUGCAGCGACACAUUAUGCAUCUACAAGGCUUGGUUGCACAUGGAAAAAGAUACAAAAAGAAAUGUAGACGCAGGACCGGGAGAAAAACAUUCAAUGAGACGUGAUUGCACGGACAUAGAACUAGAUAUAAGACAAGAGUUAAAGAAAAAUAAAGGAACUAAAUUUUCUUCUGCACACUAAGCAUGAAUGGAGUUGUAGUAUCUGAGAUCAAAAUUUAAUUUAUUCCAAGAUGCAGAACAAAAAUUUGAUACUCGUAAUGGUUACAUAGGAGCAAAAGUAGAUAAGAAAAAUAGCAAAAAGAUAGUGGUCUACCAGAGAGGGCACAUGUGCCUCAAUUGGCCUAUAGCAUAGCGACUCAUUAUCCUUCCACCGCUGGUGGCGGGCGGUACUCGCUGCUCUGUGAAGCCAGCCUCACACAAUGUCCGCCACUUUAGGUGUUGGGAUGCAAAGGCUUUCGCCAAGGCAUCCGAAACCCACUACACAACUUGGAAUGGGUGGUCCACUGUUUGUAGCACUAGACCCAGGCACAUGCACCACAAUUGACAUCCACACUACCUUAUUGCCCCGCUCGGGUUACAAGCAAUCGCUACUUGCUCAGCGAGUGAGGGGGUUCAAGACUACCUAUUUAAGGUGGUGUUGUACUCUAUGAGCCGGCGGUGUGGUAUUUACCAACUACAAAUAGUGUCAUGCAUGUGACUUGCUAGUUGACAAUGUCUGUUGUCAAGCUAGGUGUGGGCUAUGGAUGAAGCACAUUAGGAUAUAGUAGGCCUAUUUUGUUUUUUGUUGUUUUUGGGCCACUAUGGACUUUAUGUUGAUGUUGUGAAAUUUUUUUCUUGUGUUUCCUCUUCCUACGAUGUGGAAAGUGGGUGCGUCAGAGAAGAAAGAAAGAGUGGCUAGCAUUGAUUUUACGUCAUACCAUUGAGAACACUAAUCAGAAGCAGAAGCAACAAUAUUUCAUACAUAUACAACACUUGUAAUCCAUAUAAACAACAUUCCUUUAAAAUAUAAUAUAAACCACAUGAUUUAUAUCCUGGGUCGGCUAUCUCCACAAAGGGCAAGAAAACGCUCCAAGUUUGUAGUAUAGCACUAAAAGUGUCGAUUCUCACGAUUUCUUCCCGACAUAUACAAACUAGACAGUAAUCACAUAAAAUAAAGAAAUAUGUGUUAACACAAACUUAUAGCAUGUAUUUCAACAUAUAGAUUGUUGAUUAUUAUGGUAGAUUAUAUAAAAUAGGGGUUCCCGAAGAAAUACAUAAAAACAAGAGCAUUAAAAUUUCCUUUUCAGAUCUGGCUAUCUGGUAAAAGGAGUUGGAGUAACUGAGUUUCCAAAUUUGUGACGUAGCUCUAUAGAAGGAAUAUAAAUACGUUGGAAAAAUUCUAUAAGGAAAGGUUUAAUACAAGUAGGGCUAAGAAAAACUCAAUGAGGCUUUGGUCGCAUGGUCACAAAACUUGAGACAAGAAACACGAAGACACCAAGGUAAUUAGUAUGAGAGUUUUCCAAAUUUGGUGUCUUGAUGUAGAAAAAAUAAAUAUAUGACAAAUUUGUUUUUUCGCAAGGCAUGGAUAAAUAGGUGGGGGUGAGCAAUAAAUUUCAUCCUAGAUUUAGAAGGAAUAAAUAUAUCACUAAAUAUGUUUUUUCACAAUGCCAAGUUAAUCAGGUGGGAGCGAGAAACAAUUCUAGCGAGGCUAGGUUGUACUAGCCCAAAACUACAUACAACAGAGGAAAAAUGAAGAAAAUGAUGGUCUACCAAAUAUGGCGCAUGAGCCUUAAGGUGCACCUAGAGGGAAGUAGAAGAAAUAAAUAUAUAAUAGCAUAUAUUUUUCGCAAUGCAUGGUAAAGUGUAGAUGUGCUCUAACUGGGCUUAGAUUGCAGCGACACAUUAUGCAUCUACAAGGCUUGGUUGCACAUGGAAAAAGAUACAGAAAGAAAUGUAGACGCAGGACCGGGAGAAAAACAUUCAAUGAGACGUGAUUGCACAGACAUAGAACUAGAUAUAAGACAAGAGUUAAAGAAAAAUAAAGGAACUAAAUUUUCUUCUGCACACUAAGCAUGAAUGGAGUUGUAGUAUCUGAGAUCAAAAUUUAAUUUAUUCCAAGAUGCAGAACAAAAAUGUGAUACUCGUAAUGGUUACAUAGGAACAAAAGUAGUUAAGAAAAAUAGCAAAAAGAUAGUGGUCUACCAGAGAGGGCACAUGUGCCUCAAUUGGCCUAUAGCAUAGCGACUCAUUAUCCUUCCACCGCUGGUGGCGGGCGGUACUCGCUGCUCUGUGAAGCCAGCCUCACGCAAUGUCCGCCACUUUAGGUGUUGGGAUGCAAAGGCUUUCGCCAAGGCAUCCGAAACCCACUACACAACUUGGAAUGGGUGGUCCACAGUUUGUAGCACUAGACCCAGGCACAUGCACCACAAUUGACAUCCACACUACCUUAUUGCCCCCGCUCGGGUUACAAGCAAUCGCUACUUGCUCAGCGAGUGAGGGGGGGUCAAGACUACCUAUUUAAGGUGGUGUUGUACUCUAUGAGCAGGCGGUCUGGUAUUUACCAACUACAAAUAGUGUCAUGCAUGUGACUUGCUAGUUGACAAUGUCUGUUGUCGAGUUAGAUGUGGGCUAUGGAUGAAGCACAUUAGGAUAUAGUAGGCCUAUUUUGUUUUUUGUUGUUUUUGGGCCACUAUGGACUUUCUGUUGAUGUUGUGAAAUUUUUUCUUGUGUUUCCUCUUCCUACGAUGUGGAAAGUGGGUGCGUCAGAGAAGAAAGAAAGAGUGGCUAGCAUUGAUUUUACGUCAUACCAUUGAGAACACUAAUUAGAAGCAGAAGCAACAAUAUUUCAUACAUAUACAACACUUGUAAUCCAUAUAAACAACUUUCCUUUAAAAUAUAAUAUAAACCACAUGAUUUAUAUCCUGGGUCGGCUAUCUCUACAAAGGGCGAGAAAACGCUCCAAGUUUGUAGUAUAGAACUAAAAGUGUCGAUUCUCAUGAUUUUUCCGACAUAUACAAACUAGACAGUAAUCACAUAAAAUAAAGAAAUAUGUGUUAACACGAACUUAUAGCAUGUAUUUCAACAUACAUAUUGUUGAUUAUUAUGGUAGAUUAUAUAAAAUAGGGGUUCCCGAAGAAAUACAUAAAAACAAGAGCAUUAAAAUUUCCUUUUUAGAUCUGGCUAUCUGGUAAAAGGAGUUGGAGUAACUGAGUUUCCAAAUUUGUGACGUAGCUCUAUAGAAGGAAUAUAAAUACGUUGCAAAAAUUCUACAAGGAAAGGUUAAUACAAGUAGGGCUAAGAAAAACUCAAUUAGGCUUUGGUCGCAUGGUCACAAAACUUGAGACAAGAAACACGAAGACACCAAGGUAAUUAGUAUGAGAGUUUUCGAAAUUUGGUGUCUUGAUGUAGAAAAAAUAAAUAUAUGACAAACUUGUUUUUUCUCAAGGCAUGGAUUGAGAGCACCUAGAGGGGGGGGUGAAUAGGUGAUCCUGUGAAACUUGAAAACUUAAGCCACAAAACUUGGUUAAUCGUUAGCACAAUAAUUGCCAAGUGGCUAAAUAGGAAUCCUCAACAAAAUACAAUAACCAACAAAGAUCAAUCACAGAGAUGACACGGUGGUUAUCCCAUGGUUCGGCCAAGACCAACGCUUGCCUACUCCAUGUUGUGGCGUCCCAACGGACGAGGGUUGCAAUCAACCCCUCUCAAGCGGUCCAAAGACCCACUUGAAUACCACGGUGUUUUGCUUUGCUUAUCUUUAUCCCACUUGCGAGGAAUCUCCACAAAUUGGAGUCUCUCGCCCUUACACUUAAAGUUCACAAAGAAGCACGGAGUAAGGGAGGGAAGCAACACACACAAAUCCACAGCAAAAUGCGCACACACACGGCCAAGAAUCGAGCUCAAAAGACUAUCUCAAAGUUCUCACUAGAACGGAGCUCGAAUCACUGAGAAUGACAAACGAAUGCGCAAAGACUGAGUGUGGAUGAUCAAGAAUGCUCUAAGGUUGCUUGGUUUUUCUCCUCCAUGCGCCUAGGGGUCCCUUUUAUAGCCCCAAGGCGGCUAGGAGCCGUUGAGAACAAAUCUGGAAGGCCAUCCUUGCCUUCUGUCGUCGGGCGCACCGGACAGUCCGGUGCACACCGGACACUGUCCGGUGCCCGAUUUCCUUCCUUAAAUGGCGAAGCCGACCGUUGCAGAUGUGGGAGCCGUUGGCGCACCGGACAUGUCCGGUGCACACCGGACAGUCCGGUGCCCCCUUCCGACCGUUGGCUCGGCCACGUGUCGCGCGCGGAUUCCGUGGCCGACCGUUGGCCCGGCCGACCGUUGGCUCACCGGACAGUCCGGUGCACACCGGACAGUCCGGUGAAUUUUAGGCGUACGUCGCCGGUGAAUUCCCGAGAGCGGCCAGUUCGCUCGAGCCAGCCUGGCGCACCGGACACAGUCCGGUGCACCACCGGACAGUCCGGUGCCCCAGACCGAAACAGCCUCUUGGCUGUACACAGCCAACUCUUCUCUUUCCUUCUUCUUUUUGUUUCUGAUACUUAGACAAGUAUAUUAGUACACAAAACCAAUGUACUAAGACUUAGAAACAUACCUUUGCUCUUGAUUUGCACUUUGUCCAUUCAUGGGCAUAGAUUUACAUUUAAUUACUUGUGUUGGCACUCAAUCACCAAAAUACUUAGAAAUGGCCCAAGGGCACAUUUCCCUUUCAAUCUCCCCCUUUUUGGUGAUUUAUGCCAACACAACAUAAAGCAACUAGAACAAGUGCAAUAUUACUUCAAAUAAAAACUCAAAUUCAUUUUGAUUCAAUUUGGCAUAUAUGGAUCAUCCUUUGCCACCACUUGGUUUGUUUUUGCAAAUCAAACUCAAAAUCCUAUCUCUAAGUCAAAUCCACUUGUAGAGACAUAAAGAGAGGUUUUCCAUAGAAGAUUGAUUCAAGAUUCCAAAAACUCCCCCUUUUUCCCAUAAUCAACACUUCACCCCACAAGAGGCCAACUUUUGAUAAAAGAGACAAUGCAAGAGUAUUGACAAACCAAAAGCUCUAUCCUACUGUUUUCAAAGUUUCUCAAGUGGUAGCUGAUCCAUUUAUUGCUUUGGCCUUUAUUUUCUCCCCCUUUGGCGUCAAGCACCAAAACGGGAUCAAUCUUGGCCCUUUAACCCCAUUGCCUCACCAAAAUCUUCAAUUAAGAGCAAAUAGGCAAUAAGAGUUAAAAGAUGAACUUGGAAAAGUUACUCUUUUCAUCGGAGUGCAGUGGAAGUCUUGCAUGGUCCAAGUCCACCUUUUCCCUUUUAAUUCUCCUUCGAGACUAAAACAAGCAAACUCAAGCAUAUGGUUAGUCUCAAAGGGUCAAGUUGUAACACAUCUCCCCCUAAAACUGUGCAUCACUUUGCAACGGACUUGUGAGGUCCAGGGAGUGUUUGUACAACUUGAGCACCAUACUAAACAACAAAAUGCAAAAAGGAUCAUGAUCAAAAGCAUAAAUACAUGUAUGCUACAAUUCAAUCCAAGUUCCGCGAAUCUACGACAUUUAGCUCACUACGCAGCCUGCAAAAGGUCUUCUCAUCUAGAGGCUUGGUAAAGAUAUCGGCUAGCUGGUUCUCGGUGCUAACAUGAAACACUUCGAUAUCUCCCUUUUGCUGGUGAUCUCUCAAAAAGUGAUGCCGGAUGUCAAUGUGCUUUGUGCGGCUGUGUUCAACAGGAUUUUCCGCCAUGCGGAUAGCACUCUCAUUGUCACAUAGGAGUGGGACUUUGCUCAGAUUGUAGCCAAAGUCCCUGAGGGUUUGCCUCAUCCAAAGUAGUUGCGCGCAACACUGUCCUGCGGCAACAUACUCGGCCUCAGCGGUGGAUAGGGCAACGGAGGUUUGUUUCUUAGAGUUCCACGACACCAGGGACCUUCCUAAGAAUUGGCACGUCCCUGAUGUACUCUUCCUAUCGACCUUACAUCCAGCAUAGUCGGAAUCUGAGUUUCCAACCAAGUCAAAGGUAGACCCCUUUGGAUACCAGAGCCCGAAGCAAGGCGUAGCAACCAAAUAUCUAAGAAUUCGCUUCACCGCCACUAAGUGACACUCCUUAGGAUUGGAUUGAAAUCUAGCACACAUGCAUACGCUAAGCAUAAUAUCCGGUCUACUAGCACAUAAAUAAAGUAAAGACCCUAUCAUUGACCGGUAUGCUUUUUGAUCAACGGACUUACCUCCUUUGUUGAGGUCGGUGUGUCCGUCGGUCCCCAUCGGAGUCUUUGCGGGCUUGGCGUCCUUCAUCCCAAACCGCUUCAGCAGGUCUUGCGUGUACUUUGUUUGGGAGAUGAAGGUGCCGUCCUUGAGUUGCUUCACUUGAAACCCAAGGAAGUAGUUCAACUCGCCCAUCAUCGACAUCUCGAAUUUCUGCAUCAUAACCCUGCUAAACUCUUCACAAGACUUUUGGUUAGUAGAACCAAAUAUUAUGUCAUCGACAUAAAUUUGGCACACAAACAAAUCACCAUCACAUGUCUUAGUAAAAAGAGUUGGAUCGGCUUUCCCAACCUUGAAGGCAUUUGCAAUUAAAAAGUCUUUAAGGCAUUCAUACCAUGCUCUUGGGGCUUGCUUAAGUCCAUAGAGCGCCUUAGAGAGCUUACACACGUGGUCGGGGUACCGUUCAUCCUCGAAGCCAGGGGGUUGCUCUACGUACACCUCCUCCUUGAUUGGCCCGUUGAGGAAAGCGCUCUUCACAUCCAUUUGGAACAACCUGAAAGAAUGGUGAGCGACAUAUGCUAGCAAGAUACGAAUUGAUUCUAGCCUAGCCACAGGAGCAAACGUCUCCUCAAAGUCCAAACCUGCGACUUGGGCAUAACCUUUUGCCACAAGUCGAGCCUUGUUCCUCGUCACCACCCCGUGCUCGUCCUGUUUGUUGCGGAAUACCCACUUGGUUCCCACAACGUUUUGCUUGGGACGAGGCACCAGUGUCCAAACUUCAUUUCGCUUGAAGUUGUUGAGUUCCUCCUGCAUGGCUAACACCCAGUCCGGAUCUAGCAAGGCCUCUUCUACCCUGAAAGGCUCAAUAGAAGAGACAAAGGAGUAAUGCUCACAAAAAUUAACUAAUCGAGAUCGAGUAGUUACUCCCUUGCUAAUAUCACCCAGAAUUUGGUCGACGGGAUGAUCCCUUUGAAUCAUCGCUCGAACUUGGGUUGGAGGUGCCGGUUGUGCUUCUUCCUCCAUCACAUGAUCAUCUUGUGCUCCCCAUUGAUCACACUCCUCUUGAUGAACCUGUUCAUCGUUUUGAGUUGGGGGAUGCAUCAUUGUUGAGGAAGAAGGUUGAUCUUGCUCCAAUUGUUCCUGUGGUCGCACAUCACCAAUCGCCAUGGUGCGCAUAGCGGCCGUUGGAACGUCUUCUUCAUCUAAAUCAUCAAGAUCAACAACUUGCUCUCUUGGAGAGCCAUUAGUCUCAUCAAAUACAACGUCGCUAGAGACUUCAACCAAACCCGAUGAUUUGUUGAAGACUCUAUACGCCUUUGUAUUUGACUCAUAACCUAACAAAAACCCUUCUACAGCUUUGGGAGCAAACUUAGAAUUUCUACCCUUCUUUACUAGAAUGUAGCACUUGCUCCCAAAUACACGAAAGUAAGAUACAUUGGGUUUGUUACCGGUUAGUAGCUCAUACGAAGUCUUCUUGAGGAGGCGAUGAAGGUAGACCCUGUUGAUGGCGUGGCAAGCCAUGUUCACGGCUUCCGACUAGAAACACUCGGGGGUCUUGAAUUCUCCAAGCAUCGUCCUCGCCAUAUCGAUUAGUGUCCUGUUCUUCCUCUCUACCACACCAUUUUGCUGUGGUGUGUAGGGAGCGGAGAACUCGUGCUUGAUCCCUUCCUCCUCAAGGAACUCCUCCACUUGAAGAUUCUUGAAAUCGGACCCGUUGUCGCUCCUUAUCUUCUUCACCUUGAGCUCAAACUCAUUUUGAGCUCUCCUAAGGAAGCGCUUGAGGGUCCCUUGGGUUUCAGACUUAUCCUGCAAAAAGAACACCCAAGUGAAGCGGGAAAAGUCAUCGACAAUAACUAGACCAUACUUACUUCCCCCUAUGCUCAGAUAGGCGACGGGUCCGAAGAGGUCCAUAUGCAGCAGCUCCAGGGGUCUUGAAGUGGUCAUCACAUUCUUGCUGUGAUGCGCUCCUCCCACUUGUUUACCUGCUUGACAAGCUGCACAAGGUCUAUCUUUUUCGAAUUGUACGUUAGUCAAACCUAUCACGUGUUCUCCCUUUAGAAGCUUGUGAAGGUUCUUCAUCCCCACAUGUGCUAAGCGGCGAUGCCACAGCCAGCCCAUGCUAGUCUUAGCAAUUAAGCAUGCAUCUAGACCGGCCUCUUCUUUUGCAAAAUCAACUAAGUAAAGCUUGCCGUCUAAUACACCCUUAAAAGCUAGUGAACCAUCACUUCUUCUAAAGACAGACACAUCUACAUUUGUAAAUAGACAGUUAUAUCCCAUAUUGCAUAAUUGACUAACAGAUAACAAAUUAUAUCCAAGAGACUCUACUAAAAACACAUUAGAGAUAGAGUGCUCAUUAGAAAUUGCAAUUUUACCUAACCCUUUUACCUUGCCUUGAUUCCCAUCACCGAAUAUAAUUGAAUCUUGGGAAUCCUUAUUCUUGACGUAGGAGGUGAACAUCUUCUUCUCCCCCGUCAUAUGGUUUGUGCAUCCGCUGUCGAUAAUCCAGCUUGAACCCCCGGAUGCAUAAACCUGCAAGGCAAAUUUAGGCUUGGGACUUAGGUACCCAACUCUUGUUGGGUCCUACAAGGUUAGUCACAAUUUCCUUAGGGAUCCAAAUGCAAGUUUUAUCACCCUUGCAUUUUGCCCCUAACUUCCUAGCAAUCACCUUUCUAUCCUUUCUACAAAUUGCAAAGGAAGCAUUCAAAGCAUGAUAUAUUGUAGAAGGCUCAUUAACUUUCCUAGGCACAUUAACAACAUUUCUCCUAGGCAUAUUAUGAACAACAUUUCUCCUACCAACGUUCCUAUCAUGCUCAUAGAAAGAACUAGAAGCAACCAUGUCAUGAUAAACAUAUGAAUCAAAAACAUUAUAACUUCUAUUUGCAUUUCUAGUAUGUCUCCUAUCAUGAUACAUAAAAGCAUGGUUCUUUUUAGCACUACCAGCCAUAGGGGCCUUCCCUUUCUCCUUGGCGGAAAUGGGAGCCUUAUGGCUUGUUAAGUUCUUGGCUUCCCUCUUGAAGCCAAGUCCAUCCUUAAUUGAGGGAUGUCUACCAAUCGUAUAGGCAUCCCUUGCAAAUUUUAAUUUAUCAAAUUCGCUUUUGCUAGUCUUAAGUUGGGCAUUAAGACUAGCCACUUCAUCAUUCAAUUUAGAAAUUGAAACUAGGUGUUCACUACAAGCAUCAACAUUAAAAUCUUUACACCUAGUGCAAACCAUAACAUGUUCUACACAAGAGUUAGAUUUACUAGCCACUUCUAGUUUAGCAUUUAAAUCAUUAUUAACACCUUUUAAAGUAGCAAUGGUUUCAUGACAAGAAGAUAAUUCACUAGAAAGCACUUCAUUUCUUUUAACUUCUAAAGCAUAAGAUUUUUGUGCCUCUACAAAUUUGUCAUGCUCUUCAUAUAAAAGAUCCUCUUGUUUUUCUAAGAGUCUAUCCUUUUCAUUCAAGGCAUCAAUCAAUUCAUUAAUCUUUUCUACUUUAGUUCUAUCCAAUCCCUUGAACAAACUAGAGUAAUCUAUUUCUUCAUCACUGGACUCAUCAUCACUAGAAGAAUCAUAAGUGACAUUGUUUUGAUUGCAUACCUUCUUCUCCCUUGCCAUAAGGCAUGUGUGACGCUCGUUGGGGAAGAGGGAUGACUUGUUGAAGGCGGUGGCGGCGAGUCCUUCAUUGUCGGAGUCGGAGGAGAAGCAAUCUGAAUCCCACUCCUUUCCGAUAUGUGCCUCGCCCUUGGCCUUCUUGUAAUGCUUCUUCUUCUCCCUUUUGUUCCCCUUUUCCUGGUCACUUUCAUUAUCGGGACAGUUAGCAAUGAAAUGACCAAUCUUACCGCAUUUGAAGCACGAGCGCUUCUCCUUUGUCUUGGUCUUGCUUGGCUGUCCCUUGCGACCUUUAAGCGCCGUCUUGAAGCGCUUAAUGAUGAGGGCCAUCUCCUCAUUAUUUAGCCCGGCCGCCUCAACUUGCGCCACCUUGCUCGGUAGCGCCUCCUUGCUCCUCGUUGCCUUGAGAGCAAUGGGUUGAGGCUCAUGAAUAGGACCGUUCAACGCGUCGUCCACAUAUCUUGCCUCCUUGAUCAUCAUUCGCCCGCUUACGAACUUCCCCAGAACUUCUUCGGGCGACAUCUUGGUGUACCUAGGAUUUUCACGAAUAUUGUUCACCAAAUGAGGAUCAAGAACGGUAAAGGACCUUAGCAUUAGGCGGACGACGUCGUGAUCCGUCCAUCGCGUGCUUCCGUAGCUCCUUAUUUUGUUGAUAAGGGUCUUGAGCCGGUUGUAUGUUUGAGUUGGCUCCUCGCCCCUUAUCAUUGCGAACCGUCCAAGCUCGCCCUCCACCAACUCCAUCUUGGUGAGUAAGGUGACAUCGUUCCCCUCAUGAGAGAUCUUGAGGGUGUCCCAGAUCUGCUUGGCAUUGUCCAAGCCGCUCACCUUAUGGUACUCGUCCCUGCACAAAGAGGCUAGCAACACAGUAGUAGCUUGUGCAUUUUUAUGAAUCUGUUCAUUAAUAAACAUGGGACUAUCCGUACUAUCAAAGUGCAUUCCACUUUCUACAAUCUCCCAUAUGCUAGGAUGGAGAGAGAACAAGUGACUACGCAUUUUGUGACUCCAAAAUCCGUAGUCCUCUCCAUCAAAAUGAGGAGGUUUACUAAGUGGAAUAGAUAAUAACUGAGCAUUAGUACUUUGAGGAAUACGAGAGUAAUCAAAAGAAAAGUACGAAUUGACCGGUUUCUUUCUCUCGUAUUCGUUGUGGUCGUCGUCCUUUUGGGAGGAAGUAGACUCAUCGCUGUCGUAGUAGACGAUCUCCUUGAUGUGUCUUGUCUUCUUCUUCUUCCCAUCUUUGCGUCUGUGGCCCGAGCCCGAGUCGUUGGACUUGUCAUCCCUUGGCUCGUUGACGAAGGACUCCUUCUCCUUGUCGUUGAUCACGAUUCCCUUCCCUUUAGGAUCCAUCUCUUCGGGCGGUUAGUCCCUUUGUGAAGAGAACGGCUCUGAUACCAAUUGAGAGCACCUAGAGGGGGGGUGAAUAGGUGAUCCUGUGAAACUUGAAAACUUAAGCCACAAAACUUGGUUAAUCGUUAGCACAAUAAUUGCCAAGUGGCUAAAUAGGAAUCCUCAACAAAAUACAAUAACCAACAAAGAUCAAUCACAGAGAUGACACGGUGGUUAUCCCGUGGUUCGGCCAAGACCAACGCUUGCCUACUCCACGUUGUGGCGUCCCAACGGACGAGGGUUGCAAUCAACCCCUCUCAAGCGGUCCAAAGACCCACUUGAAUACCACGGUGUUUUGCUUUGCUUAUCUUUAUCCCACUUGCGAGGAAUCUCCACAAAUUGGAGUCUCUCGCCCUUACACUUAAAGUUCACAAAGAAGCACGGAGUAAGGGAGGGAAGCAACACACACAAAUCCACAGCAAAAUGCGCACACACACGGCCAAGAAUCGAGCUCAAAAGACUAUCUCAAAGUUCUCACUAGAACGGAGCUCGAAUCACUGAGAAUGACAAACGAAUGCGCAAAGACUGAGUGUGGAUGAUCAAGAAUGCUCUAAGGUUGCUUGGUUUUUCUCCUCCAUGCGCCUAGGGGUCCCUUUUAUAGCCCCAAGGCGGCUAGGAGCCGUUGAGAACAAAUCUGGAAGGCCAUCCUUGCCUUCUGUCGUCGGGCGCACCGGACAGUCCGGUGCACACCGGACACUGUCCGGUGCCCGAUUUCCUUCCUUAAAUGGCGAAGCCGACCGUUGCAGAUGUGGGAGCCGUUGGCGCACCGGACAUGUCCGGUGCACACCAGACAGUCCGGUGCCCCCUUCCGACCGUUGGCUCGGCCACGUGUCGCGCGCGGAUUCCGCGGCCGACCGUUGGCCCGGCCGACCGUUGGCUCACCGGACAGUCCGGUGCACACCGGACAGUCCGGUGAAUUUUAGGCGUACGUCGCCGGUGAAUUCCCGAGAGCGGCCAGUUCGCUCGAGCCAGCAUGGCGCACCGGACACUGUCCGAUGCACCACCGGACAGUCCGGUGCCCCAGACCGAAACAGCCUCUUGGCUGUACACAGCCAACUCUUCUCUUUCCUUCUUCUUUCUGUUUCUGAUACUUAGACAAGUAUAUUAGUACACAAAACCAAUGUACUAAGACUUAGAAACAUACCUUUGCUCUUGAUUUGCACUUUGUCCAUUCAUGGGCAUAGAUUUACAUUUAAGCACUUGUGUUGGCACUCAAUCACCAAAAUACUUAGAAAUGGCCCAAGGGCACAUUUCCCUUUCAUGGAUAAAUAAGUGGGGGUGAGCAAUAAAUUUCAUCCUAGAUUUAGAAGGAAUAAAUAUAUCACUAAAUACGUUUUUUUUUACAAUGGCAAGUUAAUCAGGUGGGAGCGAGAAACAAUUCUAGCGAGGCUAGGUUGUACUAGCCCAAAAUUACAUACAACAGAGGAAAAAUGAAGAAAAUGAUGGUCUACCAAAUAUGGCGCAUGAGCCUUAAGGUGCACCUAGAGGGAAGUAGAAGAAUAAAUAUAUAAUAGCAUAUGUUUUUCGCAAUGCAAGGUAAAGUGUAGAUGUGCUCUAACUGGGCUUAGAUUGCAGCGACACAUUAUGCAUCUACAAGGCUUGGUUGCACAUGGAAAAAGAUAGAGAGAGAAAUGUAGACGCAGGACCGGGAGAAAACAUUCAAUGAGACGUGAUUGCACGGACAUAGAACUAGAUAUAAGACAAGAGUUAAAGAAAAAAAGGAACUAAAUUUUCUUGUGCACACUAAGCAUGAAUGGAGUUGUAGUAUCUGAGAUCAAAAUUUAAUUUAUUCCAAGAUGCAGAACAAAAACGUGAUAUUCGUAAUGGUUACAUAGGAACAAAAGUAGAUAAGAAAAAUAGCAAAAAGAUAGUGGUCUACCAGAGAGGGCACAUGUGCCUCAAUUGGCCUAUAGCAUAGUGGCUCAUUAUCCUUCCACCGCUGGUGGCGGGCGGUACUCGCUGCUCUGUGAAGCCAGCCUCACGCAAUGUCCGCCACUUUAGGUGUUGGGAUGCAAAGGCUUUCGCCAAGGCAUCCGAAACCCACUACACAACUUGGAAUGGGUGGUCCACAAUUUGUAGCACUAGACCCAUACACAUGCACCACAAUUGAUAUCCACACUACCUUAUUGCCCCCGCUCGGGUUACAAGCAAUCGCUACU